CCUUUGUGACGUCAUUGGUACGGCUGAAUACUUACCUUAGUCCCUGACCAGGGCAGCUGUGUUCUGGAAGGAUGAAAGUCGGGAAUGGUCCAGAGUCGGGGGGCGGGGGGUGAGGAGGGGCAGUGCUACACAGAGAGAUAUGUUUUGUGGUGAGAGGCCGAUGACAUUAAAAGGAACAGUCUGAUUGAGAUUUCGGAGCCAGCCGGACCACUGGAGCAGAGUCACCUUUUUGGUCUCACAGUCCAGCUCAUGGAUGGAGAGCCAGGCUGAUUUGUCUCCCCUUCAGGUAUAAGCUCCACUCCCAGGAAUCUACACCACCUGUCUAUAGGAGAGCUGUGAGGUGUCUGGUCACAUCAUCCUGCUUCAUCUUCAAGAGACACCCACAAUUUCCAAAGAGGGGAAGAGGCACUGUGGGCAAGCAGCCAGAGCCGAUGCCCAUUGUCCAUAGACGUCCAGCUGGGGUCAAGUGACCAGGACUUUGCUGACGGUCCAGCAGAAUGCCGUGUGAUGGUUCUUCACCAUGACCUGAUGAGAUUUGGAAUCAGAAGAGCUACACACUCUACCACAAUACGUUCCUUCACCACAGGCCCAGAGUAAUGAAGACAAGCCUCUGUGAGCCAAGAUCUGCAGAACUGUGGGCCAAAAUAACUGUUUCUAAAGAGAAAGGGUUGAUCAACUUUGAUAUUUGUAAGAGUGGCAGAAAACUGACAGACAUGAUCAAUGGCUUGGUCAAUGUUCCUGGCUUGGUGAUUAUAAAAGAACUACCAUGAGAA